GGGCCCGUAGCUCAGCUAGGUAGAGCGGCGGGCUUUUAACCCGUAGGUCCCGGGUUCAAAUCCCGGCGGGCCCG
rnacentral:tRNA from 1 species